AGCUGAGCAAAUGUGAUAACCAGCAGAAAUGAUGUUCUUAAUGGAUUCAUUAUCUCCACCUUCAGAGCCAGUCGUUGGCUGACCAAGGUUGAUCCAGUCUGACCACACACAUUUUUCUUCACCACUGCAUUGGGUAGGUGUUACUCCUGUUGAGGUUGAUGUAGGAGUAGUGGUUGGAGUCGUACUAGAGCUGGGAGUCUGAGUUGUUGAUUUUGUUGUAGGUGGAGCUGUCGAUGUUGAGGUUGAAGUAGUGGGUGUAGGAGUAGUGAUAUGAGGAACUGUUGUUGUUGUGGUGGUGGGGAUGUGUGUUAUGGUUCCACAUUGACAACAUUUCACUCGAAUCUCGUAAUCAAAGCACUUUUGCUGAAGACCUUGCUUAUUGUUUUGACAAAUCAGUCCAACGGAUGGGUUGCAAGUCACGUCUUGGCCAAGCUGAGAGAUCUGAAGUCCAGGGUAUUGUUUUGCUCUACAUUCAACUGCCUCUGGAGCUGAGCAAAUGUGAUAACCAGCAGAAAUUAUGUUCUUAAUGGAUUCAUUAUCUCCACCUUCAGAGCCAGUCGUUGGCUGACCAAGGUUGAUCCAGUCUGACCACACACAUUUUUCUUCACCACUGCAUUGGGUAGGUGUUACUCCUGUUGAGGUUGAUGUAGGAGUAGUGGUUGGAGUCGUACUAGAGCUGGGAGUCUGAGUUGUUGAUUUUGUUGUAGGUGGAGCUGUCGAUGUUGAGGUUGAAGUAGUGGGUGUAGGAGUAGUGAUAUGAGGAACUGUUGUUGUUGUGGUGGUGGGGAUGUGUGUUAUGGUUCCACAUUGACAACAUUUCACUCGAAUCUCGUAAUCAAAGCACUUUUGCUGAAGACCUUGCUUAUUGUUUUGACAAAUCAGUCCAACGGAUGGGUUGCAAGUCACGUCUUGGCCAAGCUGAGAGAUCUGAAGUCCAGGGUAUUGUUUUGCUCUACAUUCAACUGCCUCUGGAGCUGAGCAAAUGUGAUAACCAGCAGAAAUUAUGUUCUUAAUGGAUUCAUUAUCUCCACCUUCAGAGCCAGUCGUUGGCUGACCAAGGUUGAUCCAGUCUGACCACACACAUUUUUCUUCACCACUGCAUUGGGUAGGUGUUACUCCUGUUGAGGUUGAUGUAGGAGUAGUGGUUGGAGUCGUACUAGAGCUGGGAGUCUGAGUUGUUGAUUUUGUUGUAGGUGGAGCUGUCGAUGUUGAGGUUGUAGUAGUGGGUGUAGGAGUAGUGAUAUGAGGAACUGUUGUUGUUGUGGUGGUGGGGAUGUGUGUUAUGGUUCCACAUUGACAACAUUUCACUCGAAUCUCGUAAUCAAAGCACUUUUGCUGAAGACCUUGCUUAUUGUUUUGACAAAUCAGUCCAACGGAUGGGUUGCAAGUCACGUCUUGGCCAAGCUGAGAGAUCUGAAGUCCAGGGUAUUGUUUUGCUCUACAUUCAACUGCCUCUGGAGCUGAGCAAAUGUGAUAACCAGCAGAAAUUAUGUUCUUAAUGGAUUCAUUAUCUCCACCUUCAGAGCCAGUCGUUGGCUGACCAAGGUUGAUCCAGUCUGACCACACACAUUUUUCUUCACCACUGCAUUGGGUAGGUGUUACUCCUGUUGAGGUUGAUGUAGGAGUAGUGGUUGGAGUCGUACUAGAGCUGGGAGUCUGAGUUGUUGAUUUUGUUGUAGGUGGAGCUGUCGAUGUUGAGGUUGAAGUAGUGGGUGUAGGAGUAGUGAUAUGAGGAACUGUUGUUGUUGUGGUGGUGGGGAUGUGUGUUAUGGUUCCACAUUGACAACAUUUCACUCGAAUCUCGUAAUCAAAGCACUUUUGCUGAAGACCUUGCUUAUUGUUUUGACAAAUCAGUCCAACGGAUGGGUUGCAAGUCACGUCUUGGCCAAGCUGAGAGAUCUGAAGUCCAGGGUAUUGUUUUGCUCUACAUUCAACUGCCUCUGGAGCUGAGCAAAUGUGAUAACCAGCAGAAAUUAUGUUCUUAAUGGAUUCAUUAUCUCCACCUUCAGAGCCAGUCGUUGGCUGACCAAGGUUGAUCCAGUCUGACCACACACAUUUUUCUUCACCACUGCAUUGGGUAGGUGUUACUCCUGUUGAGGUUGAUGUAGGAGUAGUGGUUGGAGUCGUACUAGAGCUGGGAGUCUGAGUUGUUGUUUUUGUUGUAGGUGGAGCUGUCGAUGUUGAGGUUGUAGUAGUGGGUGUAGGAGUAGUGAUAUGAGGAACUGUUGUUGUUGUGGUGGUUGGGAUGUGUGUUAUGGUUCCACAUUGACAACAUUUCACUCGAAUCUCGUAAUCAAAGCACUUUUGCUGAAGACCUUGCUUAUUGUUUUGACAAAUCAGUCCAACGGAUGGGUUGCAAGUCACGUCUUGGCCAAGCUGAGAGAUCUGAAGUCCAGGGUAUUGUUUUGCUCUACAUUCAACUGCCUCUGGAGCUGAGCAAAUGUGAUAACCAGCAGAAAUUAUGUUCUUAAUGGAUUCAUUAUCUCCACCUUCAGAGCCAGACGUUGGCUGACCGAGGUUGAUC